rnacentral:rRNA from 1 species
UACGUAGGGGGCAAGCGUUGUCCGGAUUCAUUGGGCGUAAAGGGGACGUAGGCGGCCAACUAAGUCCGACGUGAAAUCCCAAGGCUUAACCUGGGAACUGCGUCUGAUACUGGAAGGCUUGAGUUCGGGAGAGGGAUGUGGAAUUCCAGGUGUAGCGGUGAAAUGCGUAGAUAUCUGGAGGAACACCGGUGGCGAAGGCGGCAUCCUGGACCGAAACUGACACUGAGGCGCGAAAGCCAGGGGAGCAAACGGG